rnacentral:rRNA from 1 species
UACGAAGGGUGCAAGCGUUACUCGGAAUUACUGGGCGUAAAGCGUGCGUAGGCGGUUUGUUAAGUCCGCUGUGAAAGCCCUGGGCUCAACCUGGGAAUUGCAGUGGAUACUGGCAAGCUAGAGUGCGGUAGAGGAUGGUGGAAUUCCCGGUGUAGCGGUGAAAUGCGUAGAGAUCGGAAAGAACACCAACGGCGAAAGCACUCUGCUGGGCCGACACUGACACUGAGAGACGAAAGCUAGGGGAGCAAAUGGG